CCUACGGGAGGCUGCAGUGGGGAAUAUUGGACAAUGGGGGGAACCCUGAUCCAGCGACGCAGCGUGAGUGAAGAAGUAUUUCGGUAUGUAAAGCUCUAUCAGCAGGGAAGAAAGAAAUGACGGUACCUGACUAAGAAGCCCCGGCUAACUACGUGCCAGCAGCCGCGGUAAUACGUAGGGGGCAAGCGUUAUCCGGAUUGACUGGGUGUAAAGGGAGCGUAGACGGCGAUGCAAGUCUGAAGUGAAAGGCGGGGGCCCAACCACCAGACUGCUUUGGAAACUGUAUGGCUGGAGUGCAGGUGAGGUAAGUGGAAUUCCUAGUGUAGCGGUGAAAUGCGUAGAGAUUAGGAGGAACACCAGUGGCGAAGGCGGCUUACUGGACUGUAACUGACGUUGAGGCUCGAAAGCGUGGGGAGCAAACAGGAUUAGAUACCCUAGUAGUC
rnacentral:rRNA from 1 species